GAAGGACGUAUUAGCUCGCAGGUAACGUAUUGAAGAUCUAUGUUCAUGGAUUGUGAUUUAAUUAAUCGUGUGAUCAUUUUGAUUGAUUUCUUUUGCACUUAAAAUUGUAUUGUUAGUAUCAUCCCUGCUAUUUCUUUUAUGUUUUGUUCACCAACAAAUACAGCAUGGGAUUUAUAAAGUUGUUGGAGUAUAGGAAUUUUGUAAACAGCAGGCGUAAUAUUCUGUUAUUUUAAGCUAAAUGUAUUAUUCCUUUAUAUUUUACAGGAGCGUUGGUCUACCUAUCAA
rnacentral:misc_RNA from 1 species